rnacentral:rRNA from 1 species
UUAGGUGACCCCCGCGAAGGAUCAUUG